UCCACGGAGGGAAUCGCAAGCGAGAGAGGAACUCAAGAUCACCUCGGACCGUCAGGCUGAGAGUCACCGGCUACAGGGGGUGUUAGAACAGCAAGGACCACGCCCGUCCAGGGCCGCCGGAGGCGGGCAGUGGCGGAAAGCCGCGGGCGGUAAGAGGCUGCCGCUGAGUGCUGCAGCGCCUCGGGGCGCGGCACUGCCAGUGGUCAGGGGCCAGCCCGCGGACGGGCGCUGAUCCACGUGGGCUGCGGUGACCCGGGGCCACCGGUGGCUGGAGCCGCCGAUCGGUGGGGGCCGCGCUCGUAGAUCAGAAGGUUCCGUGUGCGCGGGGCCGCCAGCAGCGGGAACCGCAGUCGGCGGGCACCAGAAGUGGCGGAAAGCUGCGGGCAGCGAGAGGGCCGCCGCUAGCUGCAGGGAUCGAAAGCGCUAGCCACGGUACAACCCCGGCGCCGCAGGUUCUCCUGUGCAGGGCUGCCAGUGGCGACUGCGAGGCGCCCAGCACGGUAGCGCCCGGCGGGGCGGACCCGCUCGCGCGGGGUUUUCGGGCCGGGAAUCCACGUGGGCGACAGCGACUCGGGGGCACUAGUGCAGUAGUAGCACACGGGGGCGUGGGAGCCCCAGCCCGCCGCACGCCCUGGCGCCGAGUGGAAGCCACAAGUCCUGGUGUGUGGGCCGGGAGAGGGAGGAGCCGAUACUGGCAGCGUGCAGUGAAGACCGGGCAGAAAUCACAUCGGCUCACUUCAGCAAGAGCAGUGAGUAGCCUAAUGUCUCGCUGGUUCUCUGUUUGCUUUUGCUUUCUUAGAGAAAGGCAGGGAUUUUUAAUUUUUUUUUCUUUUCUUUGUCUUCUCUUAGCUGUUAAGAAAGCAAGAUUAUCUUGCAAAGAUCUGUGAGUAGCUAUUAAGAGGGGGCUUUUGUUGCAAAGGGCUGAAAGAAAGAAAUGGGCCUAAGAACAAGUAAAGAAUUCCCAAGGGGAGGGAAAAAUGAAAGGAUAAUCCUGAACAGCCCCCUGGGAAGAAGACUAACCUGGUGGAGAUGUGACCCCAACACCAAGAGUGAAGAUAAGGUUAUGCAGUAUUGUGUGAUAGAGUGGACUAAGAGGGAGACUGGAUCCAACCAGGUGUACAGGCCGCGGUGAGUUGAAAGAAGAGUUGGAUGUGUCUGGUUUUAAAUAUCCAUAUAAAAAUUAAAUAACAACCCCAGUACAGAUCAGGGAGACAUGGUGUAUGCUUUGUUUUCCUCCCUUUUGCUGCCUCCUACCUUUUUAUUUGUCAACUCUAACUUUUAAUCAAGUGUAGCACAUGUUAUGAAUAGAAAAUUGUAUUUUUUUUUAGUUUCAGAGUUAAAAAAAAGCAAGUCAAACCGGUCAGACUCCUUUAGGUUCCCUGUGGAAGAAAAGCCCUUAAUCACUCGUUGAUGGCCGGUGAUUAACUGAUUGUUUCCCUGAGGCUGGCUGCAUACCAAGAAGAUACCAAGGGAAACCCUCCAGGGUAAAGAGAUGGGCAGUGACACCAGAAACAACAUGCAAAUGACAAAUGCAGUGCAACCUGGGUUUUUACAGUUUUACAGUUUUUAUAAGAAAAACCCCUAAAAUCACGAGCCAAUAAGUGACUUAAAGUGACGUCUAAGGAUGGGAGCAUUGUCCCGUACCUGCUUGUAUCUUUUUAUUUCUCACCCUAACCUGAAAAGAAACUGAUUAAAGAGACCCCCCGGGUUUCUAAACCAACAAGUCAAGGACUCAAUGACUCUCCCGUGAGGACAGAGUCCCCAGUUCUGUCUGCAGACCAGCGGACAAAACUGCAUCAUCCUCCUGCUUUGUGCCACGCCUGGGAGCAGCGGCGGCGAGGGCGCAACCCGUCGAUUUCUCCCCACCUGAGCUGAUUCUUCUUAAUAAAGGCAUUAAAAAGGAGAAAGAUCUCCUGCCCAUUUAUUUCAGCACAGAAUAGUCAUUCUACACUCAAAUUUAGUGUUUUGAGUAAAAAGUUAUCAAUUUUAUUUUAAGGUUGCAGAAUUAAAACAAGUUGGACCAGUUGCUCUUAAGUUGAAGGUUUGACUAUUUGUUGUUGAUAGCUUCAUGUUGCAGUCACCUAUUGUUGAGAGUUUUUCUUCGAUUGCCUGUUAAUGGUUGCUGAUCAGCACAAUUGUCCCCCUUCUGCUUCCCGGGGAGUGACACCAGACCCUGCAGGUAGCAGGGGGGGAGUGACAUCAGAACUGGUAUGCAGAUGAGAAUGCAUUUCACCAGAUUUUGCAAUUUUCCAGGAAAAAAACCUAAAAACAACGAGCCAACAUGAAAUUAAGAGACCUAGGUAAUGUCUAAAGGUGAGGAACUUAAUCCAGUAUCUGCUAGGAUCCUUUUUACUUCUCACCCUAACCUAAAAAGAUGUUAACUAGAAAGAGGACCUGGAAUGUUAAACUGAAAAAGUGGAAUUCCCACUACUCCCUGGAGGACGGAAGCCCCAGCUCUGCCUGCAGACCAGCGGACACAGCUGCAUCAUCCUCUUCCUCCGUGCCACUAUUGGGAGAAGCGGCGGUGUGGGCGAUCUGUUGUUUCUCCCCAGCCUGAGCUGAAUCUUUGUAAUAAAGGCAUUAAAAAGGAGAAAGAUCUCCUGCCCUAUUUAUUUCAUUUAGCACUAACAAGUGCUACUUCUCUUUCAAGUUAAGAGAAGAGCUUGGGUGUCAAAACCUUUCUUUCAGUUCAAGAUAAUACCAUGAUGAACUCUGUUUCAAAGUCACUGUCAACCCUGCAGAGAGGCCUGGAGCUUUCCUUACCCUGUGUGCCUGAUCCCCAAGAGACUGUGAGCUGCCUUCAACAGAAACAGGGUCCACAGGUACCUUCCCUCAGUUAAGGGCUCUCUGUAUCCUUUUCUUCUCAAGCCAUGAUGAUGUUCUUCAAGCUUUCAAGUUAGAAACAAGUCAGACCUCUUUGGUUUCGCUGCUGCCGAAGAAAAGCUCUUCAAAUACCUGUUAAUGGCCGGUGAUUAACUAUUGUUUCCCUGAUGCUGGCCGCUUGCCAAGAAGACACCAGGACAGACCCUCCAAGAUACUGAUUAAAGAGACACCCCGGAGUGUUAAACAAACAAGCCAGGAAUCUGCGACUCUCCCGUGAGGACAGAGUCCCCAGCUCUGUCUGCAGACCAGUGGACAAAGCUGCAUCAUCCUCCUUCUCCAUGCCACGCCUGGGAGCAACGGCGGUGUGGGCACAACCUGUCGAUUUCUCCCCAGCUGAGCUGAUUCUUCUGAAUAAAGGCAUUAAAAAGGAGAAAGAUCUCCUGCCCAUUUAUUUCAGCUUGGGGGACUCGUCCGGGAUAGCCAUGCCUGAAGAGGACACCAGGACUGGGACGGCCGCCCACCCUGGACCUGCAGGACAGUUGGCUAUUGGGACCAGAGAAGAUCAGCUUGGGACAGUGACACGGAGCAGCGCCGGAUAGGUGAGAAUAUCCGGCGGCGGGAGAGGGAGGUGAGCGAGUGUGUGUGAGUGAGACGAGGGCCCGCAGCUCGGCCCCUCGAAGCGAGUGAGGACCCCUCAGUACUGCGGUUCCGCACCCCCGCGAGGGGGCCGGCUGGGAACAUGGGGAAGCGAGUCGAACUGGUGAUUGAGGCGCCUCCAAAGGGGUAAAGAGGACCCCCUCCAGGUGUCCGGAGGAAAUACUGUGUGAGUGGCACGCACCCCAAAAGCCCUGAUACAAGUCCUAACGAGGGAAGUUAGGCGAUUUAGAAUAUCAGGCAGUUUUGCCCUGACGAAGGAGGUCAGGCAAACCUCAGAGGUCAGGACCUCGAGGAUUUUUUUUGUGUUUUGUUUGUUUGUUGAGUCUUGGCAAGAGAAGGCCAAGGUCUCAACAAAGUCCUGACGAAAAAGGUUAGAGAAAUUGGAGUUUUGGCAGGAGGUCGAGACUUCUUAAAUAAGAUAUAUUUCCUUUAGAGAAAAAGGCAUCUUUGUGAUUUGUUUUGAGGCAGAAAAAAUGGGAGGAUGCGGUAGUAAGAAAAGUGGCCAAAGACUGAGGAAUAUACCUCCCCACAGUCCCCUAGAUGAACUAUUAGAGAAAUGGGACUCUAUAGAAGCCACAGAAGGACUAGAUAAAGUUAAGAUGAUUCAUUACUGUUCAGAAGUGUGGCCAGAAUUAGAGGUGCAAGGAGGAUGGCCGUGGUGUGGGACGAAAGACAAGUGGAUGUGUCAACAGCUGAGUAACUAUCUGACGGCUCGAGAGGAUACUGAUCGUGAGCAAUUAUUAUAUGUAGCUUGUUGGUUGAAUGCUAUAAAGAAUGAAGGAGUGCAAAUUUGUAAAGUGCAGAACAAGAAAGAAGAGAAUGAAAGAGGAGAUGCUGGAGUUAAAGAAAUUGGUAAAAGGUGGGACCCCCUAGACUACUUGCCUCCUGAUGCCCCUCCACCUUAUUAUCCUCUCCUUCGAGCACCUCAAAUAGCAGAUCCAGUUCUUCUCCCAGCUGCCAUGGGAGCCAUUCCCUCACCACCCCCUUUGACUCCUUUAGCUGCUUCUGCACCACCACUAAUACCCACUUCACCUGCUGCAUGCUCCACCCCUUCUCCAGCUCCACUUAACAUGCACCCAAGCUCUUCUCCCCCUCCUACUGCUGUCCCUCCACCUCCUCCUAACUGGGACACAAAUGCCUCCUUAUCUAGUAACCCCUUAUCACCAGGUACAGCCGUUAGCCUACAGCAAGUCCAAGCUAAUGCUAAUACCCCUCAAGUGAACAGUCUUGUGUCUGAAGAUGAGCCAUACUGUGGUACCCGAUCCAAGACCUCCACAGUAGAGAGACUUUUUCCCCUUAGAGAAGUUCCUAUGGGAGGAGUAGCAGGAGGUGUUGGUUUUAUAAAUGCUCCUCUACAUGCUUCUGAGGUAAAAGGAUUCAAGAAGGAGUUAGGGAAUUUAGUUGAAGACCCCGUGGGCAUUGCUAACCAAGUGGAUCAGUUCUUAGGUCCAAAUUUCUACACUUGGGGGGAGAUGAAUUCCAUUCUAAAUAUAUUAUUUUCCCCAGAAGAGUCCCGAAUGAUUAGGGCCGCAAGCAUAAGAAUUUGGGAAAAAGAUAAUCAUCCAGGGCCCCAA